GCUUCUUGCCAUCAGGUCUGAGGAGAAUGCUUGCUCACUGGGAGUCUCCUGUUGGCAGUGUGCAUUUCCAAUUCCUGGUGACCGUGUUUCUGUGUCUGUGACCUGAAUCUGCUCUACCGUCUGCGGGGUCCCGGUGUCCUCUCCUCAUCCCCGAAGCCUCACAAGCAGAGGGGAGUGACGCUGCUCAUCAGAUGGACAAUGACUCUGUGCCCUCCGGGGGCCCCACAGGAUCAUGGGUCCUGAGAACAGAAGAGGUGGACAGGGGGACCUGGAGAGCUGCCAUGCUGAGAGGACCAGGAGAGGGCCAGGAGAGGGCCAGGAGAGGGCCAUGGGCACAGCGGCGCAGCACAGGUGCCCCCAGCAGCUGGCAAAGGCCCAGAAACAGGCCCCGGCCUCCACACCUCAGGCUCAGGCCUCCACUGGGGUCGGACCGCUGACUCCACACAGUGCCGCAGGAUGCUGGGUGACACUAAGCUGCCACAAACCUCACUGCGGGCCGGGCGGGCUGGGGGCCCACUGGCCCCCGGUGCUUGCAAUGCUGGCUCUGCGUGUGGUUUUGCUCGUCCCUUUAUCACAGCCUCGAAGUCAGGAUGGCCCCGUUCAGACUUCUGCUGCAGGGCAGCGGUGUGAGGGUGCUGGCCUCCUUUUCUCCUGCGCGUGUGCUGGGUGUGGGCAGACAUUGUUGAGGUAGAAGCAGCCAGACAGUAGCAUGUUUUCCAGAAUCCAACAAGAGAACCUGCGCAGGAGGAGGAGGAGAACACGCAGGGGCUCCAGGCAGUUGUGGUGUGGCUGGACGGAUCAAAAUGACGGCAGGACAAUCUACUCUGUCACUGCGGACAUUUCUGGCUCAUGGACACUUGCAGCAUGUUUUCAGGCCUUCCAAAAUUUGGAUCACACUUACGCGUACUGUUUUCUGGCUUGAUCUUAGAAAUGGAAUCUCUUGGGAGCAGAGCUCCAUGACCACAGUGAGGGUUAAGACAGCUCGUGGCCACCGGGUUUUGAUGCUGCGGACAGUCA
rnacentral:lncRNA from 1 species